GACGAACGCUGGCGGCGUGCCUAAUACAUGCAAGUAGAACGCAGUUGCGAACGGGUGAGUAACGCGUAGGUAACUGCCUCAUAGCGGGGGAUAACUAUUGGAAACGAUAGCUACUACCGCAUACUUUGCGCUGGACCUGCGUUGUAUUAGUUAGUUGGUGAGGUAAAGGCUCACCAAGGCGACGAUACAUAGCCGACCUGAGAGGGGGAUCGGCCACACUGGGAAUGAGACACGGCCCAGACGCCUACGGGAGGCAGCAGGAGGGAAUCUUCGGAAAUGGACGGAAGUCGGACCGAGCAACGCCGCGGGAGUGAAGAAGGUGUUCGGAUCGUAAAGCUCUGUUGGUAGAGAAGCGGUAACUAAACAGAAAGGGACGGCUAACUACGUGCCAGCAGCCGCGGUAAUUC
rnacentral:rRNA from 1 species